rnacentral:rRNA from 1 species
UACGUAGGGGGCGAGCGUUGUCCGGAGUUACUGGGCGUAAAGCGCACGCAGGCGGUCUGCUAAGUUUGGAGUGACAGUUGGUGGCUUAACUGCCAAAGUGCUUCGAAAACUGACAGACUUGAGGGCUUCAGAGGGACACGGAAUUCCGGGUGGAGUGGUGAAAUGCGUAGAGAUCCGGAAGAACACCGGUGGCGAAGGCGGUCUGCUGGGGUCGAACUGACGCUGAGGCGCGACAGCGUGGGGAGCAAAAAGG